rnacentral:rRNA from 1 species
AUGGGAACGCGAAGAACCUUACCUAGACUUGACAUCUUCUGCAUUAAUCGUAAUGGAUAAAAUCCCUUCGGGGACAGAAUGACAGGUGGUGCAUGGUUGUCGUCAGCUCGUGUCGUGAGAUGUUGGGUUAAGUCCCGCAACGAGCGCAACCCCUAUUACUAGUUGCUACCAUUAAGUUGAGCACUCUAGUGAGACUGCCCGGGUUAACCGGGAGGAAGGCGGGGAUGACGUCAAAUCAUCAUGCCCCUUAUGUCUAGGGCAACACACGUGCUACAAUGGUGAGUACAGAUAGAUGCGAUACCGCAAGGUGGAGCCAAACUCUAAAACUCAUCCCAGUUCGGAUUGUAGGCUGCAACUCGCCUACAUGAAGUUGGAGUUGCUAGUAAUCGCGAAUCAGAAUGUCGCGGUGAAUACGUUCCCGGGUCUUGUACACACCG